rnacentral:rRNA from 1 species
GACGAACGCUGGCGGCGUGCUUAACACAUGCAAGUCGAACGGAAAGGCCCUGCUUUUGUGGGGUGCUCGAGUGGCGAACGGGUGAGUAACACGUGAGUAAACUGCCCUUGACUUUGGGAUAACUUCAGGAAACUGGGGCUAAUACCGGAUAGGAGCUCCUGCUGCAUGGUGGGGGUUGGAAAGUUUCGGCGGUUGUGGAUGGACUCGCGGCUUAUCAGCUUGUUGGUGGGGUAGUGGCUUACAAAGGCUUUGACGGGUAGCCGGCCUGAGAGGGUGACCGGCGACAAUGGGACUGAGAUACGGCCCAGUCUCCUACGGGCGGCAGCAGUGGGGAGUAUUGCACAACGGGCGGAAGUCUGAUGUAGCAACGCCGCGUGCGUGAUGACGGCCUUCGGGUUGUAAACCGCUUUCGACUGUGACGAAGAGUGAGUGACGGUAAUGGGUAAAGAAGCACCGGCUAACUACGUG